rnacentral:rRNA from 1 species
GAUUCCCCUAGUAACGGCGAGUGAAGAGGGAAAAGCCCAGCACCGAAGCCUGCGGCAGUUUUGCUGUUAGGCAAUGUGGUGUUUAGGUCGGCUCGCGGGACUGCUGCUCCAUUCUAAGUCCAGCUUUGAGUAUGGCUUCUGGACUUGGCCCACAGAGGGUGAAAGGCCCGUUCGAAUGGAGGAUAAGAGAAGUGAGUAGUCCACUAUGCCGGCCUUCGAGUCGGGUUGUUUGAGAAUGCAGCCCAAAGAGGGUGGUAGACUCCAUCCAAGGCUAAAUACUAGCACGAGUCCGAUAGCGAACAAGUACCGUGAGGGAAAGUUGAAAAGUACUUUGAAGAGAGAGUAAACAGUACGUGAAACCGCAUAGAGGUAAACGGGUGGCGUCAAGCUGCACGCUUAGAGGAUUCAGUCGGUCAGGAUGUUGUGUAUGCGCCUGGCGCAUCUAUCAGUCGGAGUGAGAUAAAGUAGUCCGUUGGGUAACAGCGGGCCCGGCCGAAAGGCUGGGAUUUGUAUUCCGUGUUAUGUGCGGAGCUUGCUACUUGUCUAUGGACUGCCUGGCCGAUGCAUUUUCUCUGUGGCGAACACCACGACCGGUGGUACUGCCAGUCUGCUGUGGUAAAGUCGGGUUCAGUCGGCCUUGUGUUGGUUGAGCUUGAUCAUAGGCAAGCGGUGUGCGGGUGCGUACGUACUUGUACACCGCUUUGUCAACGGGUCUGUUUGCUGACGAUUGUAGUAGUUGGCGAAUGGCCUGGUGGACCAUGGUGGUAAGAAUAACUGUGCAGGGCACCGGUGAUUUCGGUCUCUAAUUUGGCUCGCUCACACACUACAAGUGGGUGUGGGUCGUCGUUGCAGUCUGCCUGUGAUUGGGUUUGAUUGUCGUGUUGCCUGCGCAAAGUAGGUCCGGCAGUAGCCUGAUUUUGGAUGGUAUUGCUAGCGGCGUCUCUUCUGCGGGCUGAUGAGGGCCUAAUAGU